GGGAGGGGUCCAAAAUCGUAAAUUUUUUUAAAAAUUUUUUUUUAAGGUUUUUUUUUUCCAGUGUUUUUGCCCCAAAAUCUCCCGGAAUUCCAAAGUUUCGGAUGGUUUUGGAGGCGGGGUUGGGGUUUUGUUUUGGGGUUUUUUUUGGUUGGAUUUGGAAAGGAUCCCCAAAAUUUGACACCCAGGGGUCCCAAAACCCCAAAAUUUGAGACUUGGAUGUUCCAAAAACCCCAAAAUUUGACACCUGGGGGGGUCCCAAAACCCCAAAAUUUGACACCGAGGGGUCCCAAAAUCCUCAAAUUUCAGACCUGGGGGCCCCAAAAACCCCAAAAUUUCACACCUGGAGGUCAAAAAAACCCCAAAAUUUGAAACCAGGGGGACCCAAAACCCCAAAAUUUGAAACCUGGGGGUCCCAAAAAUCCCAGAAAUGUCACUCAAGGGUCCCAAAAUCCCAAAAUUUGACACCUGAGGGUCCCAAAACCCCAAAAUUUGAAACCCGGGGGACCCAAAAACCCCAAAUCUGCCACUCAGAUGUCCCAAAAACCCCAAAAUUUGAAACCUGAGAGCCCCAAAAACCCCGAAUUUGACACUCGGGUGUUCCAAAAACCCCAAAAUUUGAGACCUGGGGGUCCCAAAACCCCAAAAAUUUAAACUUGGGGGGUCCCUCAGGUGUCCAGAGAUUGAUCCCCGUCUUUUUGGGGUCAUUUCCCAGCAUUUUGGGGUCAUUCCAGACCAUUUUGGGGUCGUUUCUGACCAUUUUGGGGUCACUUUCCCAUUCCCGACAAUUUUGGGGUCACUUUGCAUCAUUUUGGGGUCAUUCCAGACAAUUUUGGGGUCCCUUUCCCAUUCCAGACCAUUUUGGGGUCAUUUCCUGUCGUUUUGGGGUCGUUCCAGACCAUUUUGGGGUCAUUUUUGACCAUUUUGGGGUCGUUUCCCGUCGUUUUGGGGUCGUUGUCGUCCUCCUGGGGGUCACUCCUCUGUGUCCAGCAGGGAUCCAGGUGUCCGAGGGGUCACUCCAGACCAUUUUGGGGUCACUCCGGACCAUUUUGGGGUCACUUCGAGGUCGUUCCCCACUUUGGGGUCAUUUUGGGGUCAUUUCCAACCAUUUUGGGGUCGUUCCUGAACGUUUUGGGGUCACUUUGUGUCACUUCCAGGUCGUUCCCAACCACUCCGGGGUCACUUUGGGGUCGUUCCCCACAAUUUUGAGGUCGUUCUUCACCAUUUUGGGGUCAUUUGAGACCAUUUUGGGGUCAUUUCCAACCAUUUUGGGGUCAUUCCAGACCAUUUUGGGGUCGUUUCACACCAUUUUGGGGUCAUUCUCCACCCCUUGUCCGAGCACUGUCCGAGGGGUCCAUCCCCAAUAUUUUGGGGUCAUUUUGGGGUCCAUCCCCACCAUUUUGGGGUCAUUGCAGUUCAUUCCUGACCAUUUUGGGGUCGUUUCUGACCAUUUUGGGCUCAUUCCCCACUCCAGGGUCACUUUGGGCUCAUUCCCGACCAUUUUGGGGUCGUUUCCCAUCAUUUCGGUGCCGCUUUGAGGUCCAUCCCCAACGUUUUGGGGUCGCUUUAACACCAUUCCUGAUCAUUUUGGGGUCAUUCCUGAUCAUUUUGGGGUCAAUCUGAGCUCAUUCCUGACCAUUCUGAUGUCAUUCCCAACCACUUGAUGUCAUUCCCGACCAUUUUGGGGUCAUUCCAGACCAUUUUGGGGUCAUUCCUGAUCAUUUUGGGGUCACUUCCAGCUCAUUCCCAACCGUUUGACGUCAUCCCCGACCAUUUUGGGGUCAUUCCAGACCAUUUUGGGGUCGUUUCCCAUCACUUUGGUGUCACUUUCAGGUCCGUCCCAAACCUUUUGGGGUCAUUCCAGGCCAUUUUGGGGUCAUUUUGAUGUCAUUCCCAACUGUUUGACGUCAUUCCUGACCAUUUUGGGGUCAUUCUUGACCAUUUUGGGGUCAUUCUUGACCAUUUUGGGGUGAUUCCUGACCGUUUUGGGGUCGCUUCCAGCUCAUUUCCAACCAUUUUGACAUCAUUCCUGACCACUUUGGGGUCGUUCCUGACCAUUUUGGGGUCACUUCCAGCUCAUUCCUGACCAUUUUGGGGUCAUUCCCUACCAUUUUGAGCUCAUUCCUGACCAUUUGACGUCAUUCCCAACCGUUUUGGGGUCACUUUCACCUCGUUCCUGACCAUUUUGGGGUCAUUCUUGACCAUUUUGGUGUCAUUCCCGACCAUUUGACGUCAUUCCCGACCGUUUUGGGGUCACUUUCACCUGGUUCCUGACCGUUUUGGGGUGAUUCCCGACCAUUUUGGGGUCACUUUCACC
ensembl:lncRNA